CUCCAGCUGAGACCAUCAGAACUACUCUCCUCCAGCUGAGACCAUCAGAACUACUCUCCUCCAGCUGAGACCAUCAGAACUACUCUCCUCCAGCUGAGACCAUCAGAACUACUCUCCUCCAGUGAGACCAUCAGAACUACUCUCCUCCAGCUGAGACCAUCAGAACUACUCUCCUCCAUUGAGACCAUCAGAACUACUCUCCUCUAGUGAGACCAUCAGAACUACUCUCCUCCAGCUGAGACCAUCAGAACUACUCUCCUCCAGCUGAGACCAUCAGAACUACUCUCCUCCAGCUGAGACCAUCAGAACUACUCUCCUCCAGUGAGACCAUCAGAACUACUCUCCUCCAGCUGAGACCAUCAGAACUACUCUCCUCCAGUGAGACCAUCAGAACUACUCUCCUCCAGCUGAGACCAUCAGAACUACUCUCCUCCAGCUGAGACCAUCAGAACUACUCUCCUCCAGCUGAGACCAUCAGAACUACUCUCCUCCAGUGAGACCAUCAGAACUACUCUCCUCCAGCUGAGACCAUCAGAACUACUCUCCUCCAGUGAGACCAGCAGAACUACUCUCUUCCAGCUGAGACCAUCAGAACUACUCUCCUCCAGCUGAGACCAUCAGACCUACUCUCCUCCAACUGAGACCAUCAGAACUACUCUCCUCCAGUGAGACCAUCAGAACUACUCUCCUCCAGUGAGACCAUCAGAACUACUCUCCUCCAGUGAGACCAUCAGAACUACUCUCCUCCAGUGAGACCAUCAGAACUACUCUCCUCCAGUGAGACCAUCAGAACUACUCUCCUCCAGUGAGACCAUCAGAACUACUCUCCUCCAGCUGAGACCAUCAGAACUACUCUCCUCCAGCUGAGACCAUCAGAACUACUCUCCUCCAGCUGAGACCAUCAGAACUACUCUCCUCCAGUGAGACCAUCAGAACUACUCUCCUCCAGCUGAGACCAUCAGAACUACUCUCCUCCAACUGAGACCAUCAGAACUACUCUCCUCCAGUGAGACCAGCAGAACUACUCUCCUCCAGUGAGACCAUCAGAACUAAUCUCCUCCAGCUGAGACCAUCAGAACUACUCUCCUCCAGCUGAGACCAUCAGAACUACUCUCCUCCAGUGAGACCAUCAGAACUACUCUCCUCCAGCUGAGACCAGCAGAACUACUCUCCUCCAGCUGAGACCAUCAGAACUACUCUCCUCCAGCUGAGACCAUCAGAACUACUCUCCUCCAGCUGAGACCAUCAGAACUACUCUCCUCCAGUGAGACCAUCAGAACUACUCUCCUCUAGUGAGACCAGCAGAACUACUCUCCUCCAGUGAGACCAUCAGAACUACUCUCCUCCAGCUGAGAACAUCAGAACUACUCUCCUCCAGUGAGACCAUCAGAACUACUCUCCUCCACUGAGACCAUCAGAACUACUCUCCUCCAUUGAGACCAUCAGAACUACUCUCCUCUAGUGAGACCAUCAGAACUACUCUCCUCCAGCUGAGACCAUCAGAACUACUCUCCUCCAGCUGAGACCAUCAGAACUACUCUCCUCCAGCUGAGACCAUCAGAACUACUCUCCUCCAGUGAGACCAUCAGAACUACUCUCCUCCAGCUGAGACCAUCAGAACUACUCUCCUCCAGCUGAGACCAUCAGAACUACUCUCCUCCAGUGAGACCAGCAGAACUACUCUCCUCCAGCUGAGACCAUCAGAACUACUCUCCUCCAGCUGAGACCAUCAGAACUACUCUCCUCCAGCUGAGACCAUCAGAACUACUCUCCUCCAGCUGAGACCAUCAGAACUACUCUCCUCCAGUGAGACCAUCAGAACUACUCUCCUCCAGCUGAGACCAUCAGAACUACUCUCCUCCAGCUGAGACCAUCAGAACUACUCUCCUCCAGUGAGACCAUCAGAACUACUCUCCUCCAGUGAGACCAUCAGAACUACUCUCCUCCAGCUGAGACCAUCAGAACUACUCUCCUCCAGCUGAGACCAUCAGAACUACUCUCCUCCAGCUGAGACCAUCAGAACUACUCUCCUCCAGUGAGACCAUCAGAACUACUCUCCUCCAGCUGAGACCAUCAGAACUACUCUCCUCCAGCUGAGACCAUCAGAACUACUCUCCUCCAGUGAGACCAUCAGAACUACUCUCCUCCAGUGAGACCAUCAGAACUACUCUCCUCCAGCUGAGACCAUCAGAACUACUCUCCUCCAGCUGAGACCAUCAGAACUACUCUCCUCCAGCUGAGACCAUCAGAACUACUCUCCUCCAGUGAGACCAUCAGAACUACUCUCCUCCAUUGAGACCAUCAGAACUACUCUCCUCCAGCUGAGACCAUCAGAACUACUCUCCUCCAGUGACCAACAGACAGGACACAGGACAGACCAACAGACAGACCAACAGACAGGACACAGGACAGACCAACAGACAGACCAACAGACAGGACACAGGACAGACCACCAGACAGGACAGACCAACAGACAGACCAACAGACAGGACACAGGACAGACCAACAGACAGGACAGACCAACAUACAGACCACCAGACAAGACAAAGGACAGACCACCAGACAGACUACCAGACAGGACAGACCAACAGACAGGACAGACUAACAGACAGGACAGACUAACAGACAGGACAGACUAACAGACAGGACAGACCAACAGACAGGACAGACCAACAGACAGACCACCAGACAGGACACAGGACACGUUCCACGCCAUCUGUUCCAGCGAAAUGACGCAAUAUCGAAAAGUCGUCUCCCGUCCGCACGGACACCUUUCGAGGCAGAACUCUCGUGCGGACGUUGGUUUGAAGGUGGAAAGGUGUAAAUUAGGUUUUCCCAGAGAGCCAGGAGUUUUACUGAGUUAUGAAGCUGGAAUGUACAGACUGGAGAUUAAAGCUUUUUACGGUU